rnacentral:rRNA from 1 species
GACAGAGGGUGCAAGCGUUGUUCGGAAUUACUGGGCGUAAAGCGUGUGUAGGCGGCUUUGCAAGUCGGAUGUGAAAGCCCCGGGCUCAACCCGGGAAGUGCACUCGAUACUGCAGAGCUUGAGUGUCGGAGAGGUUGGUGGAAUUCUCGGUGUAGAGGUGAAAUUCGUAGAUAUCGAGAGGAACACCGGCGGCGAAGGCGGCCAACUGGACGAACACUGACGCUGAGACACGAAAGCGUGGGGAGCAAACAGG